UACAGAGGGUGCGAGCGUUAAUCGGAAUUACUGGGCGUAAAGCGCACGUAGGCGGCUUGGUAUGUCGGGUGUGAAAUCCCCGGGCUCAACCUGGGAACUGCAUCCGAAACUGCCUUGCUAGAGUAUGGGAGAGGGAAGUGGAAUUUCCGGUGUAGCGGUGAAAUGCGUAGAUAUCGGAAGGAACAUCAGUGGCGAAGGCGGGUCUCUGGACAGUUCCUGACGCUGAGGCACGAAGGCCAGGGGAGCAAACGGG
rnacentral:rRNA from 1 species